ACCAUUUAUAUUUUAUACGAUAACUCCGCAUAUAUAAGACGUGCGCGUCUUAUGUAAGUUGCGACUUAUAUUGUCCCGUAUACAGUGUAAAUGGCCCUGAUAUCUUGGUCUGUGUUAAUUAGCCUCUAUACAUGCAUGCAUUUACUAAACUUUGGUUAAUUAAACUGUCACAAUUGUUUUUUUAACUAGACAGAGUUCUAGGGUGGUCAUGGGGCAUGCUCUCCACAGAAUUUUGAAAUCUAGAGGUCUGAAAUGG